CGUAGGUGAACCUGCGGAAGGAUCAUUG
rnacentral:ncRNA from 177 species